UACGGAGGGUGCAAACGUUGCUCGGAAUCAUUGGGCGUAAAGCGCACGUAGGCGGUCCGGUAAGUCGGGUGUGAAAUCCCUCGGCUCAACUGAGGAAGUGCAUUCGAAACUGUCGGACUUGAGUAUGGAAGAGGGUCGCGGAAUUCCCGGUGUAGAGGUGAAAUUCGUAGAUAUCGGGAGGAACACCAGUGGCGAAAGCGGCUUCCUGGUCCAGCACCGACGUUCAGGCACGAAAGCGUGGGGAGCAAACAGG
rnacentral:rRNA from 1 species